UAAUGAAAUUAAUAGGCUUUAAGACUGUGCUGAGUGCUGGGGAUUUGACAGAGAACAGGAUGGACACAGUUCCUGUCAACUUACAUUUUAGAAGGGGAGACAGACUCACAGCUAAUUGCUUAAUUAGAGUAGCUAUCAGCGCUACUGGGAAAACUGAGAGUAUCCUAUGAGAGCAUAUCACAGGAGACAUGACCUAAUGGAGAGAGGAAGGCUCAGAAAUCUUCUCUAAGGAAGAGACAUUUUAUCUGAAAGCCAAAAAUGACUAUGAGUUGCUGGAUAUCCCGAGGGCAGGGAGGAGAACAAGAGAGCAUUCCAGGCAGAAGCAGCAGCUCAUGCACAGGCUUAUGGCAUAAAAGAGCAGAUGUAAUUUUUGCGGAACUGUAAGAAGCUAAGGAAGUGCAAUGAGGAAGAGGGAUGGAUCACAGGUGAUGUGGACACACGGAGGCCUUGGUACACAUUUUGGACUUUAGCCUAAGAUCAUUGGCAAACUACAGCAAGUGCAGAAUAUUGAUGGUGCUGAAUAAAAGGGGACAAUCAUAUGAAAUUUCCAGAGAAAGUUAAAAGAGCAGAGCACUGGUGAAUUUGGUCUAAAACACAUCGCAACAGGAAGGAAAUAAAGGAUUUCAGGUUUGUUAUGAAGAUCAUAUGAGACAACUGAUGUGAAAAGCUAUGAAAACUUCGUUAUGGAAAACAGAUACAUAUUAUCUAUAUUAGAUGAGUUUAUGAGUGGUUAGACCUUGGAAUUGUCAAUAUGCUACUCAUCCCCCCCAAUCUGAAUGGUCAACAGUCAAUAUACCUGGUGAAGGAGGAUGGUUCCCUCUCUAGGUGUGAGCAGAGUAUGCUGAGCCUUGUGGUUUUAAAUGAGAUAAAUUGAUACUUCAGUAUCCAACUAGCUGGCACUAGAGAGUCACUCAGGUUGGCAGGAAGUAGAAAGAAGAAAAGUUGAUGGCAUCAUUAAGAGAUGGAAAAACAAGAAUCCUUUGAAGCAGCUCUUAACACUCACAGCACAACUACCAUUUCCAGCACAAUGCAGAUACCAGCCCUGGCCAUUCCGCUUUCAUCAAGGUGCAUGCUGGUUUACUUUAUUGUCACUACAUCUUAUGUCGUUGCUUAUUUAAGACUACAAAAUAUGUGUAUAAAAAUACUGCAAAUGAGAAAAAAAUAGAGAAAAGGGCUUAAUUUUUAUAUGCACUAGAUCAUGGUUCUUCCUUGGAUGGCCCCGGUCUACAGACUAUCGUCACACAAAGUCACAUAGGACUACUGAGUUUCGAAUGUGAAGAUUAGGCUAAGAGUUAGAUGAGACCUCUCUUCUGAAUCCUCUCAGUUGCUUAUUCAUCCACUGGUUCAUCAAACAUUUAUUAUUCAUCAGACAUUUAUUAGUCAUAUGUAUGUAUGCAGAUACAGCAAUAAAUGGGCAAGCCUGAAUCCCUCCUAUUCUUAGCAGGCAGAGGCAUAGACAUAGUGAUAAAAGACCCUCAGUAGUAUGUGGCACUUUAAAAACAGUUGCUAUUUAUUAAGGCCCUGCUAUACAACUAGAACUACACUAGAAAAUAUACAUAUGUCCUCCAGACAUUAUAUACUAGGUUCUUGUUUCUAAUUCUAAUUUCAAGGUGAGGAAAAUGAGAUAUAGGCAGUUGAUUAACUUGCCUGAGGCUAACAGCUGCUAAACAGUGAAUACUGGAUUCAAAUCAAAACCAUUUGACUAUAAAGACCACCAGGCCCUAACAAAUCUUCAUUUGGCACUUAACUGAAUUUUCAUAUCAAACAGCAUUCUUAACAGAAUUAUUAUAUAUGUUAUUUAGUUGUCACAAAAACCCUGUGAGGAAGGAGGGUUGGCUUUCGUUGAGUCAUAGAAUAUGGGUUUGCCCAAAUGGAUUUCAAGGAUAUGGAAUGAGUUCCCCAGGAAAACCAGUGGAGAUCCAUGAGAACUAAUUGUUGAUAUUAGAGAUAAAGAGAGAAAAAAGAAAUGAUCCAGAAGACAAUAAGAUCAAGAGGAAACCUUCCUCCAUCACUACGUUGACACAAAAUGCUUAAUAUGGAAAAUCAGCUAUCAGAGUAUCCCAACUUCAGUGAUCAGACUAAAGCCAUAUUUUGAAUGAACCAUGUUUACCUUAAAAUUUAACCCAAAUUAAAAAGAAAAUUGAGUUGGUUGCUUAGAAACCUCUAGGUGUCUCACUAGAUACUAAAACUUUUGAAAAUUUAGAUCAAAAGGGGAAAAUGUAGGAAACAUAACAUCCAGUGGGGAGUCAUGGAGUCUGCAUGGUAGUUUAUUUGGGUCAAUUCUUCCUGGAUCUCAUUGUUCUCAUCUGUAAAAUGGUGAUGAUUUAUUAAAUAGCCUUUAAUUCUGUGAAUCACAUGAACUGGAGAAUCCUUUGAAUAGGUGAAUCUGUAAUAUAUUCACAAUGAAUAAAGGGUUUUCAUAUCCUCAUUUUUAUUUGAUUUUUAUAACAACCCUGAAAUAAGUCAAACAGACGCAAUUAUUCACAUUUUAUAGAUGAAAAAUCAGUCGUUCUCACAUGUUCACACACCUAAUCAGUGGUGAAGGUGGCACUCAAAUAAUUCAGGUCGUCUUUCUACUCCACUAAGGAUGAGUCCUUUCUAUCAGUAGUUAUUGACUGGCUAACCUGAGCAAGGCAUUAUAUUUUUGGCAUUAUAUAUAUUGUCCUGAGGAACCUACAGUCUAGUAGAGGCAAAUACACAACUAAAUUAGAGUUAAAAUGGCAAGUGUCAUAUGAAAGUGAGAACUUUAUGCUAGGAAAAUCAGGGAAGUUUUGUCAAACGGGUGGUUUGAAUUAGGCAUUGCAAGUAUGGAUAUAUAUUAGCAUGUUGAACAAGCAGAAAGAAACCUUCAAAAUAGAAGGACCAAUGGAGACAAAGUUUUAAAAAAAUGAUCAGGCAUUGCCUUUAUAUGAGUAACAGUCUGGCUGGAGCUAAUGGUGCCAGAAGGAGAAUCAUGACUUCAAGUGAGUUAGAGGAAGUUGUCUAAAGCAUUUGGAUCUACUCCCAUCAGCAUCCCUUUGAAGACGAUUAGGCCAAAAAGCCAGAAAAGCUUGUUGAGAAAUUCUUAGACAAAAUGACUCAAAUGCAACUACCAUUCUCUGAAAUAUAUUAGCUGUUCCCAC
ensembl:lncRNA